GACGAACGCUGGCGGCGUGCUUAACACAUGCAAGUCGAACGAAGUGGCGAACGGGUGAGUAAUACGUGAGUAACCUGCCCUCCUUUUUGGGAUAAGCCUUGGAAACGGGGUCUAAUACCGAAUAAAGGGGGAUGGGGUCGCGGGCUAUCAGCGUGUUGGUGGGGUGAUGGCCUACCACGGCGGUGACGGGUAGCCGGCCGGAGAGGGUGACCGGUCAAAUGGGGACGGAGAUCCGGCCCAGACUCCUACGGGUGGCAGCUGUGGGGGGCAUUGAAGCAUGGGCGAAUGCCGGAUGCUGCGCCGCCGCGUAGGGGAUGAAGGCUGUCGGGUUUUAACCCUCUGUCGCUAUCGAACGGGUAGCUGGAGAAGAAGCGCCGGCUAACUACGUGCCAGCAGCCGCGGUAAUAC
rnacentral:rRNA from 1 species